rnacentral:rRNA from 1 species
UACAGAGGUCUCAAGCGUUGUUCGGAUUCAUUGGGCGUAAAGCGUGUGUAGGCGGUCUGCUAAGUCGGGUGUGAAAGCCCUGGGCUCAACCCAGGAAGUGCACUCGAAACUGGCAGGCUAGAGUACUGGAGAGGUUGGUGGAAUUCUCGGUGUAGAGGUGAAAUUCGUAGAUAUCGAGAGGAACACCGGUGGCGAAGGCGGCCAACUGGACAGAUACUGACGCUGAGACACGAAAGCGUGGGGAGCAAACAGG